UCAUGCAUUAGUAAGUUUAUAUUUUAAAUUCAUUUCAAUUUAAAUAUUUUAUGAAUUAUUUUAACUAGAUUUUUUCGUAUAAAGUCUCAAAUUAGGUCGAAAACCGUCAUUUCAAGAGGCAUUCUUGUCAACUCAUACGCCGUUAAAUGAUAGAGGAAAAACUAUAAUGGUGAGUGAUCAUUUAUUAAUUAUUCAUAAUAUAUUUAUUUUUUCUUAAUUAUUUCAUAUUUGAUUUUCAUAAAGGCCGAAUAUGAAAAUUUGAAUGAAGAACUUCGAAGACAAGAAGACAGUGAUUCUGAUUCUGAUGACGAUAGCGAAGAUGAAAAUUUAUCGUCUCAAGGUUCAACUACAUUUCAUACGAAGCCUCUGUUUAAAAACGAUCAUAUUGGACCUUGGCCGAAAGCAUCAAAGGGAAAGAAAAAUGGGCGCAUUCUGGGAUUUAGAGUUGGCAAUGACUCUAUGUUAUCAAAUAAGAGGAGAAAGAAAAUGAGCAAUGAGG
rnacentral:lncRNA from 1 species